rnacentral:rRNA from 1 species
GCGGAGGAAAAGAAACUAACAAGGAAUCCCCUAGUAACGGCGAGUGAAGCGGGAUGAGCUCAAAUUUGAAAGCUGGCAUCUUCGGUGUCCGCAUUGUAAUCUCGAGAAGUAGUUUCUGUGUUGGGCCAUGUACAAGUUCCUUGGAAUAGGACAUCAAAGAGGGUGAGAAUCCCGUACUUGACAUGGAUUCCAAUGCUUUGUGAUCUGCUCUCUAUGAGUCGAGUUGUUUGGGAAUGCAGCUCAAAAUGGGUGGUAAAUUCCAUCUAAAGCUAAAUAUUGGGGAGAGACCGAUAGCGAACAAGUACCGUGAGGGAAAGAUGAAAAGCACUUUGGAAAGAGAGUUAAACAGUACGUGAAAUUGUCAAAAGGGAAGCGCUUGAGGUUAGACAUGCAUGCAGUAUUCAACCUUUCUUUUGAUGGGUGUAUUUGCUGUUUUGCAGGCCAGCAUCGGUUUUGUCUGCUGGAUAAUGGUAGAAGAAAUGUGGCAUCCUCGGAUGUGUUAUAGUCUUCUACUUGAUACAGUGGAUGGGACCGAGGACCGCAGGU